ACCAAGAGAGGCAGGUCGCACUAGGGACUGCUAAUCCCCAAGCUCCAUGGUUCAAUCCCAUGGCUCACUUA
rnacentral:tRNA from 1 species